rnacentral:rRNA from 1 species
GACGAACGCUGGCGGCGUGCCUAAUACAUGCAAGUUGAGCGCUGAAGGUUGGUACUUGUACCAACUGGAUGAGCAGCGAACGGGUGAGUAACGCGUGGGGAAUCUGCCUUUGAGCGGGGGACAACAUUUGGAAACGAAUGCUAAUACCGCAUAAAAACUUUAAACACAAGUUUUAAGUUUGAAAGAUGCAAUUGCAUCACUCAAAGAUGAUCCCGCGUUGUAUUAGCUAGUUGGUGAGGUAAAGGCUCACCAAGGCGAUGAUACAUAGCCGACCUGAGAGGGUGAUCGGCCACAUUGGGACUGAGACACGGCCCAAACUCCUACGGGAGGCAGCAGUAGGGCAUCUUCGGCAAUGGACGAAAGUCUGACCGAGCAACGCCGCGUGAGUGCAGAAGGUUUUCGGAUCGUAAAACUCUGUUGGUAGAGAAGAACGUUGGUGAGAGUGGAAAGCUCAUCAAGUGACGGUAACUACCCAGAAAGGGACGGCUAACUACGUG